ACAGGGUGACAGGUGGUGCAUGGUUGUCGUCAGCUCGUGUCGUGAGAUGUUGGGUUAAGUCCCGCAACGAGCGCAACCCUCGACCUUAGUUGCCAGCAUUCAGUUGGGCACUCUAAGGUGACUGCCGGCUAAAAGUCGGAGGAAGUGGGGAUGACGUCAAGUCCUCAUGGCCUUUAUGGCCAGGGCUACACACGUACUACAAUGGCCGGUACAAAGGGCAGCGACAUUGCGAGAUGGAGCGAAUCCCGAAAAGCCGGUCUCAGUCCGGAUUGGAGUCUGCAACUCGACUCCAUGAAGUUGGAAUCGCUAGUAAUCGUGGAUCAGCAUGCCACGGUGAAUACGUUCCCGGGCCUU
rnacentral:rRNA from 1 species